CAUAAGAAGACAGAAGAGGAUGUUUCCUUGAUACUGCAAGGGUAAACACAAAAAGGCAAUCAAAACUUGCCUAUUCAAAGGAGAAACUACUCUUCUUUUCUAGCUCAGUCUUUAAACCCUCCCUUUUCAAAAAGUGAAGAAGUAAGAUGCUCAAGAGUGUUCACACCCUUAGGGGACUCACUCAAAAACAUUUACAAACUUCUAACAACUUAGAAG
rnacentral:lncRNA from 1 species